UACGUAGGGUACUAGCGUUGUCCGGAUUUAUUGGGCGUAAAGGGCUUGUAGGUGGUUUGUCGCGUCGUCUGUGAAAUUCCGGGGCUUAACUCCGGGCGUGCAGGCGAUACGGGCAAACUGGAGUGCUGUAGGGGAGACUGGAAUUCCUGGUGUAGCGGUGGAAUGCGCAGAUAUCAGGAGGAACACCGAUGGCGAAGGCAGGUCUCUGGGCAGUUACUGACACUGAGGAGCGAAAGCAUGGGUAGCGAACAGG
rnacentral:rRNA from 1 species